GGACUACAGGGGUAUCUAAUCCUGUUUGCUACCCACGCUUUCGCCUCUCAGCGUCAGUACUGGCCCAGAGUGCCGCCUUCGCCACAGGUGUUCCUCCUGAUAUCUAUGCAUUUCACCGCUACACCAGGAAUUCCGCACUCCCCUACCAGACUCAAGCCAUAACAGUAUCGGGUGGCGUCUCCGGGUUGAGCCCGGAGUUUUCACACCCGACUUAUCAAGCCGCCUACAGGCCCUUUACGCCCAAUAAAUCCGGACAACGCUCGGACCCUACGUGUUACCGCGGCUGCUGGCAC
rnacentral:rRNA from 1 species